rnacentral:lncRNA from 1 species
AUCUAAUCCUAUUUAAACUAGGAAAGGAGUACAACCUAAAUUGUUAGAUGAUAGACAUCUUUCUUGAAGAUAAGAAGAGAAAUCCCAUCCGAAUUAUGUAAGAAUAGAUCUCACAAUUAUAAAUAGGGGCAUGUAUCUCAGUUUAUGAUACAAAGAAUUAAAGAAUGAAUGAAGGGGGGAUUUAAACUCCACUUUUGUAAUUCUUCGAUCAUCUCUCUUUUCUACAUUUUUAGAGAUCCAAAUUGAGCAAGUUGAAGAAAAGCUUCCUUCUCCCCAAUUGGAUCACGUUGCUUGAAUGAUGAUGACCAUUGCUUUAUUUUUUUUCUCAUAUUUUUACAAGUUGAUGAAUUACAGAAUACCAUUGAGGAUGAACAAAAAAGCCUAACAGAUGAGCUCAGAGCUGUC